GGGGCUGAGAAAAGCGCCAUUCAGACUGCGCCCGGAGAAGCCUUGAAGCAACGCCGAAGGACGCGGGUUCGAUUCCCGCCACCUCCA
rnacentral:tRNA from 1 species